rnacentral:lncRNA from 1 species
AUAAGCUGUACAUAUGGUUUUGGUUUUAGAUUGAGGAAUAUGGGCUUGUCUGUCAUUUAGGACACCGGGUACCUUUCUGUAUUUUCACUUUGUUCAGGGUACAUUUCUGUAUACAGAAACAUACCUGGGGUACAUAUCUGUAGUACCUGUGUCGAUAACGACCCCUUCAGUGUUACAAGUUCAGGUUUUUUAUGUACCUUUUUAGAAGCAGUGGUUUUGAGGGAACGUAGUUUUUAUCAGAACAGAACAUGUUAAUGUUAUGUAUUUGUUAGAUAUUACCUUUACUGUUAUAUAUAUCAGCGUUGUGUUCUGUUUCACCUGGUUACCAUGGUAACUGAUGUGUCUAUAUAACAUAUGUCAUGGUUCGAGUUCUUGCUCAUAAAGUAAUACAUUUACAUAUUGAUAUAGGUGUUUUAAACUAUUUAGAUCCAAUUUAUGAAUUAAUCGAUAAUUGAUUUCUCUUUUAAGUUUUUGUAUAGAAAUUGAUUCUGUAGAAAAUUGGAACAGGAAACAAAUUUAAAGCUCUUAUUCAGUCAGAUUAGAUGUUAUGUUUAGUCAUUUUUGUAGGUGGUCAUGUCUUAGAAAAUGACAUUUUACUGAAUAAGUCAUGGAUUAGCUCCCAAACUGUUCAAACUGUAAAUUGUUUGAUUGUUCGUUGAUUUUUCUAGAAAGGAGCUGAUUUGUUUUAAGAUAAUAAAUACUUCAUAACCAUGGGAUCAGCAUACUUGUACUUCUCUUUAUUGAUGUCUGAAUCUUGUCAUUGUUGAUGCAGAAUCAAACAGUACAAAGGAAAGCAUGUUUAUGAUUAACAGAAUUUUGAUGUCUGAGCUGCUCUUUAUAGUAGCCUGAAUAUCUUCAUAUGCUUUAAAAUGUCCCAUUAAGAUGGGUAUGAAUGAUAAUAUUUCAUUAAAACUCAGUGGGGGUGCCAAAUUUUGUGAGUCAAAAUCCCACUUUAAAACUUAUAAAAAUCACUACAAAACAAGUAUUUUUCAAACAUUCAUCUCCGCAACCAUUUCAUUAGGACAAAUAUAACUUAUUAAAAACAAUUUUGAAGCCAGCAUGACAAGUUCCCACUUUGAUCAAAAUAAUGGUCUGUUGAAUCCAUCUUUUGGGAUAAGGUAUGUUUCUUCAGACAUAUCAGUUUACUUUUUUUUCUUUUUAACUUUUUUGUUGUUUUCUUUGCUCAAACCUACAUCAUAAAACAACUUUGUGUGUCAUUCCAAUAAUAUAUAUAUUACUCAAUAGAAGUUAAGGAAAGAUUAACUGUAGUAAUAUGAAAGAAUCAGGUGGUUUUUAAUGUUUUUUUAUAGUAUACAUACCAGUUGUGAUGCUUUAAUUUUAUUAUUAAACAUUGACAUAUACUCACUUAUUUAAAUUAAAUUGCUUUUAAAUUAAAUAAUUUAUGUAUGGGUUGUGUUCAUUUCUCAUCUGUCGUCAUUAUUCUCUAUCAUUUUGGAUGUAGGUUGGAGAUACAUGGUUAAGAGGAAUAUUAAAACUAUGGUUAAAAUUGUUGACUUUUGUUUUGUGUUGUCUUUAACCUAUAUUUCGAGAAACUUUUGUAUUCAUGAAAAACAUAGGAAGUAUUAGGGUUGAGUCUCACUACAUGUAAUGAUUUUACCUUGAAGCAGUGGCAAGCCUUGUUUGGAUUAUUAUGGUUUAAGUCAUAUUUUACUGUGACGUCUCCAGCAUUAACAUGUUUCUCUGUAUUCAGAAUAUUGCUUUUUGUCUUGUUUUCAUUUUUCUUGUUUCAUGUCAGUCUAGUUAUUGUUCAGAUUUGUCUCAGUGUGAUUAUAUGUUAACCAGAAGAGGUAAGGUAGUAGUUUCUGGAUUAACAGGGGCCACUGUACAUCUUUAAGAUACUAUUGUCUUGAUUAAGCAUAUGAAAUGUUUAUCUUAAAGAUGGAAUCAUGGAAUAAGAGUCACUGUACAUCUUUAAGAUACUAUUGUCUUGAUUAAGUGUAUGAAAUGUUUAUCUUAAAGAUGGAAUCAUGGAAUAAGACUCAUUGUACAUUUUCAAGGUAAUUUUGUCUGGAUUAAGUGUUUAACUUAAAGAUGGAAUCCCAGGAAUAAGAGUCACUGUACAUUUUCAAGGUAAUUUUGGGUGGAUUAAUAGUGUGAAAUGUUUAUCUUAAAGAUGGAAUCAUGGAAUAAGAGUCAUUGUACAUCUUCAAGGUAAUUUUGUCUGGAUUAAGUGUUUAUCUUAAAGAUGGAAUCCCAUGGAAUAAGAGUCACUGUACAUUUUCAAGGUAAUUUUGGGUGGAUUAAUAGUGUGAAAUGUUUAUCUUAAAGAUGGAAUCAUGGAAUAAGAGUCAUUGUACAUCUUCAAGGUAAUUUUGUCUGAAUUAAGUGUUUAUCUUAAAGAUGGAAUCAUAUGGAAUAAGAGUCACUGUACAUUUUCAAGGUAAUUUUGGCUGGAUUAAUAGUGUGAAAUGUUUAUCUUAAAGAUGGAAUCAUAUGGAAUAAGAGUCAUUGUACAUCUUCAAGGUAAUUUUGGCUGGAUUAAUAGUGUGAAAUGUUUAUCUUUCAGAUAGAAUCAUAUGGAAUAAGAGUCAUUGUUCAUUUUCCAGGUACUUUUUGUCUGGAUUAAGAGUGAAAUGUUUAUCUUCAAGAUGGAAUAAGAGUCACUGUACGUCUUCAAGGUACUUUUGUCUGGAUUAAUAGUGUGAAAUGUUUAUCUUAAAGAUGGAAUCAUAUGAAAUAAGAGUCACUGUACGUCUUCCAAGGUACUUUUGUCUGGAUUAAUUGUUUAUCUUAAAGAUCAACAGAGUUAUUGUACAUCUUGAGAUAGCACUGUGUAACCAUAAUCUCCAUACAUCUCUAUGGUGUUAUCCGGAUUGACAGGGUUUGAUUUACAUGUAAGAUUUAUUGAGUUGUUCAUUUAUUGUUUCCUUCUUGUAUUCCCUUGUAAAGGGACCAUGAUGGACUAUAGUUACACUGAGUGUUAGAAAUUAACAUCAAAGUUUAAGUGGGAUUCCUCUAUCCAUUUAAUAAUUUGUGUGGUUUUCUAAAAAGAGUUAUAAAUCUAUCAACUGAUUUCCUGUUCAUUAAGCCUUAUUCAAUUCCACACAUGGGUACGUUGUGUGAAGCACAUUUCUGGUGUUCCCCGCUGUGAUAUUGCUGGAAUAUUGCCCGCUGUGAUAUUGCUGGAAUAUUGCUAAAAGUGGUGUAAAACCCAACUCCUCACUCACUCACCAUUAAGCCUUAUGGUUGAGGUGUUAGUUUGUCAUGCCGAAAUCCUUUGCUCCAUUCCUGUCAUGGUUACAGUAUAUGAAACUGGGUCCUGCUGGUUGUCAUAGAAACCUGGAUGCAGUUAUGGUAUGGGGAUGAUCAUUUGAUACUUGAGUGGAAGUGGAUAAUGUGUUCCUUUUAGGCAUUCAGUAAAAUUAUUGAUGAUUCCUUGAAUGUUUAAUAAUUGGUGAUUAGUUCUCGCUAACAACUUGUUUGAGUGUGUACAUUUGCUAAUAAUUUCACCAAAAACUUCAAAAUCUUUCAAAUAACAAUUAAAUAGUAAUUUUAAUAAUAGUGAAAAUGGUGAUAACUGGUCAGAAUAUAGUACAGCUUUUACUUCUUAAUUGAAAUCCAAAUGAAAAUAUUUUGCUCUGUUAUAUAUAUGCCUUUCUGAACAUUUUAUACUUUGUUAAAAUGUGAGGGCAUAGGGUCAUCAGGUUUAGGUUCAUGAUGCAUUACGGGCUGUGGGGUAGCCUAGUGGUUAAAGCGUUGGCUUGUCACGCCGAAGACCCGGGUUCGAUUACCUACAUGGGCAAUGUGUGAAGCCCAUUUCUGGUGUCCCCCGACGUUAUGUUGCUGGAAUAUUGCUAACAGCGGCGUAAAACCAUACACACUCACUCACUCAUGAUGCAUUAACAAAUCAAGACACGUGUAAUGGUUAUUGUAAACAUCCAAAUAGUCCCCACAAUUACAAAACAUAUUACACUUUUGAAAUGAAACUUAUGGCAUUAUUUUUUCCCAGUUCUAAUCUUUUUGGUUGAAAAAAAUGAAACAGGUAUAUUAAUGUUUGAUUAUUUUGUAUCUUGAUUUUUUCUCUCACAUUGUUAUCUCCCCUGUAUCCAUGACAAAAUGGUGGCUGGUGACCAUGUUGAGCAGCAUGAAGAAAAUAGGAUCUGCAUGUCAUAUCAGUGUCUGUUCAACACUUUUUCUUACAAUGAAUUUCAAUAAGUAUUGAAAUACAGAUAGCUGUAUCACAAUAUAAUGCAAAAUAAUUUGUUCUUACAGAGCUCUAAAUUAAUCAGGCAGACCGCGACACAUCUUGAAACAGAAGCUGAGCAAGAUGUUGAUCCAUUCUAGAAGAGUGAAACAAACUAAUGAUAGACAUUUUGUAGACAUCAGAUUUGAUUUUAUAACAAUUGUGUUUUAUUCACAGAAUUGGCUGCUUGUGAGCUGAACAGUGUCAUCUGAAACUGUUACAAAUAUUGUCCAAUUAUAUGUAGACAGAAUGUGAUUUCAAUGCCUGUAACUAACGAGUCACUUGUUUAUGUUUUGUUUGUUCAACUGAACAACGAUGUUCCCAUGAUAAUAAAAGACAUCUUGUUAAA